rnacentral:rRNA from 1 species
GUAGGUGGCAAGCGUUGUCCGGGAAUUAUUGGGGCGUAAAGCGCGCGCAGGCGGUUCUUUAAGUCUGAUGUGAAAGCCCACGGGCUCAACCGUGGGAGGGUCAUUGGGAACUGGAGAACUUGAGUACAGAAGAGGAAAGCGGAAUUCCACGUGUAGCGGUGAAAUGCGUAGAGAUGUGGAGGAACACCAGUGGCGAAGGCGGCUUUCUGGUCUGUAACUGACGCUGAGGCGCGAAAGCGUGGGGAGCAAACAGGAUUAGAUACCCUGGUAGUCCACGCCGUAGACGAUGAGUGCUAAGUGUUAGGGGGUUUCCGCCCCUUAGUGCUGCAGCUAACGCAUUAAGCACUCCGCCUGGGGAGUACGGCCGCAAAGGCUGA